rnacentral:misc_RNA from 1 species
GUUAAAGAUAUAUUAUGUAUAGAUCGGGAGCUGUAAUGGCAUGGAACGUAUUCAGAUUCUGUACUGCUUUGCGAGGGCUUGGUUCGAUCAUGAUCCUUUUGGUUUUGGGUGUUGUUGGAGUUACCUAUUACGCCGUCGUUUUAACAAACUAUGGUCCUUCCCUUGCCAGUAGUGUUGGUUUCCUUGAUGUCCUCAUUGCUCUUUCAGUACUUGUAUUAUUCCAUUGUCUGUUGGUGAUGCUUCUGUGGUGCU